GAUGGCUGGGGAAGAAGCAUGGUUGAUUCUGUAAAAGUUUAAAGUUUAAAGUUGAUUCUGUAAAAAUGCAGCAUCUUGAACUCAAAAGCAUUUCAGCUGUUGUAUCAUUGUAUCUUUCUUAAUCAGAGACAGCUGUUGUAAUACUUUCUUAAACAACAGGCCUGAAAAACCUCCUUUUUUCCAAAUACAGAGAGGAAGUUAUGUCUUGCACAAGAUGCCAUGAAGAUGUCCAUGCUGGGGUAUUGGUUGAGCCUUACAUAGACUUCCUUAGGGCAGUGUGCUUCAGUGGGAUAACAGAAUGAACUUUUGACGAAUCACAGAUCAACAGCAAAGAAAUGAACUGAGGACAACUCUACAUGGACCACUUAUCUUUUGGACCGAUCUGGAGUGGUGAAUGCUGGAUUGGUUCUGGAAUGGUUCUGAAUGACAGCCCGCUAUCACUACUAAGGUUCAUUGGAACAUGCCAGCCCCCUCACCAUGACAAGGUGACAAUCCAUUGAUGGAAUUUUUCUUUGGGAAAACAACUUGGGUAGCUGAAUAAGGACAAAGGAUGAAAGUUAGCAAAUGACAUUACAGAAUGAAGUUUGCAUCUGAAAACACCCCAGAGGCCAGCACUUGGACAUGACAAUGCAGCUCACAAGGAGCCAGCCACAUCUACAGAUCAUUCAUAUAUUUCAACAAAAUGCCCUCUUGAAGGUUUUGUGAGCUCUAGGCUACGAUUGCUGUUCUGAAGAAUACUUUGUCAAGUUCAUGACAAAUCAAGAAAACUGACAGUGUAAUUGGUUUAUCCAGAUGACAAUCUAUUUGAUUUUCUUUUUUCUCAGUAGUCAUGUAUAAGGGCACAAGAUCAGAUGUGGAUGCACUUAGAACGCACUUAGAACCACAGGGAUCUCAUUCUUCCUCCAAAUGUGCAUAUCAACAAUGCUGUGUCUCCCAUGUAGCUUGGUGAAUAUGCUGCUUCUUUGAUCAUACACCUUAAAUUUCAAGUAAAUCCCUUAGUUUUCUUGUAUUAAAAAUAAUUUAUUUGAAGAUACUUUCAGGAGAAGCGCAUUCGUGUUUUCUGAUGUGCUUGAUUAAUAUUCUAUAAAACAGUUCACAUAUCCAAUUUCUUUAAUGUGUAGUUCAAAAAGUAUUUCCAUUAUUAUUGCCAGUGUUAUUAUUAUAUAUUGGGUUUAUACCUGGCAUGAUAUUCAAUUAAUCCUUUGAAUAACUUAUGUCAAUAUUACAAAAAUCCAUCAUUCUAGCUACAUAAUUGCAUCUGACAUCACUAUAAAACUUAAAAUGCCUCCAUGCUCUCCUCAUUUGUCAAAAAUCUCAGCAUCAUAAGGUAACAUUGCGACUAGGAAGAGUUUCCACAACAUGUGUUCUGUGACUAAACAACCUCUACUCCCUGUUUUCAUAUUUCUUGCCCAUAUAAGAACAAGACAUAGAGAUGGAAGUGGACCUUUACUCAUACCAGGAACCAGGCUUAUUUAUUAAUUCAAUGUUAAUGGAUUUGAGUAAAAUUAGGCAUCCUGAGCUGAAACCAGAAAUGAAUCUGAAGUUAUAUAGUGCCCGAGCAUCCUUAAAUAGAAUUCCAAAAUUUGAAAUUCUGCAAAAUCCAAAACUGUCCACAUGGCUGGUUAAGUUGGUGGCAUCUUUCCGCUAUGUUCAAUGUAUACAAAUGUUGUUUCAUGCACAAUAUUAUUAAAAAUAUUGCCCAAAUUUA